CGCCGCUCGGGCUCGGUGCCGUUGGGCUCGGAAGCGGCGGCGAUUCGGCAGGCUGCGGGGACACAGACAGAGCGGGGCGGGCACAGCUGAGCUGGGUGUUUGAACAUGAGUUAUCCUUUCCCAUGCAUCCAGAUGCCAUAUCUUCUGCUAUCAGCAGCCACCUCACAAGCUGGGAGAGGGCUUUGAAGUGUGCUGUGCGUGACUCUAGUUCCUGCUGAUGCAAGCCAGGAGUGCCAUAAUAAAGGGAACGUGGAAGCCCAGCCCGGAUGCUGAGGAGGAGGGAAGGGGAAGGGCCCGGAUGCUGCACCUCUGCAAAUCAGCACAGAUCAUGCUCCCCUUUGCAAUACACAGGCAUUCAGAUG